rnacentral:rRNA from 1 species
UACAUGGGGUGCAAACGUUGCUCGGAAUUAUUGGGCGUAAAGCGCGCGUAGGUGGUUACUUAAGUCGGAUGUGAAAGCCCUCGGCUUAACUGAGGAAGUGCACCCGAAACUGAGUAGCUAGAGUACGAAAGAGGGUCGCGGAAUUCCCGGUGUAGCGGUGAAAUGCGCAGAUAUCGGGAAGAACACCAGUGGCGAAGGCGGCUUACUGGUCCGGUUCUGACGCUGAGGCGCGAAAGCGUGGGGAGCAAACAGG